rnacentral:rRNA from 1 species
UACAUGGGGUGCAAACGUUGCUCGGAAUUAUUGGGCGUAAAGCGCACGUAGGCGGUUUGUUAAGUCGGAUGUGAAAUCCCUCGGCUCAACUGAGGAAGUGCAUCCGAAACUGGCAAGCUUGAGUACGAAAGAGGGUCGCGGAAUUCCCGGUGUAGAGGUGAAAUUCGUAGAUAUCGGGAGGAACACCGGAGGCGAAGGCGGCGACCUGGGUCGAUACUGACGCUGAGGAGCGAAAGCGUGGGGAGCGAACAGG